UGGAUCGAUGAUGACUACUGGUGGCGUAUGAGUCGUAUACGAUGACUACGUUGGUACUCUGAGGUCCGU
rnacentral:snoRNA from 1 species